rnacentral:rRNA from 1 species
UACGUAGGGUGCGAGCGUUAAUCGGAAUUACUGGGCGUAAAGCGUGCGCAGGCGGUUCGCCAAGUCAGGUGUGAAAUCCCCGGGCUUAACCUGGGAAUGGCAUUCAGGACUGCGAGGCUUUGAGUGUGGCAGAGGGAGGUGGAAUUCCACGUGUAGCAGUGAAAUGCGUAGAGAUGUGGAGGAACACCGAUGGCGAAGGCAGCCUCCUGGGCCAGCACUGACGCUCAUGCACGAAAGCGUGGGGAGCAAACAGG